ACACCCUGACGCAGCUGAUCAGCCUGCCGCGUGAGUGAGAAGGCCUUCGGAUUGUAAAGCUCUUUUGCUGGGAAGAAGGGCAGUGUACUAAUACCCUGCUGUUCUGACGGUACCCACAGAAUAAGCACCGGCUAACUCCGUGCCCGCAGCCGCGAUAAUA
rnacentral:rRNA from 1 species